AUCAAACCUCUUCAGCACCGGAAAAUAAUCUGAUAAAUUUGGUUUCCCUGCGUUCUCCACUGUCUUCCACACCAGAUCCUUCAACUCUUGAGCUCUACUAAAUUCCGGGUCAACAAUAUCAAUUGAAAACAUGGUACUGAAAAUCAAGUUCAAAGUAGUAGCGAAAACAACUUGACCUAUAUUAACUUGGGUAUUUGAAAUUUCACAAUGUUUUUUGAUAUGUUGAAUAAGUUGCUCAACUUUUUUGUAGCGUAGGUAUUGUAGAGAGUUGAGUUUUUGUCCACUGAACAACUGGGUGCUGCAUAUUCCACGGAGUUUCCGCCACCUAUUGUCAUCACUAGGGCCCCAUACCAAGGAGGUUUCGAGGUUGGGCAUGGAAGCA
rnacentral:lncRNA from 1 species